rnacentral:rRNA from 1 species
GAUGAACGCUGGCGGAAUGCUUUACACAUGCAAGUCGAACGGUAUCAUCCUUUCGGGGGUGAGAGAGUGGCGAACUGGUGAGUAACACGUAGGUUAUCUACCCUCAAGACGGGGACAACCCAGGGAAACUUGGGCUAAUACCGGAUGUGAGCAACUUUUAGUUGUUUGAAAGGUGGCGUAAGCUGUCGCUUGGGGAUGAGCCUGCGUCCUAUUAGUUAGUUGGUGAGGUAACGGCUCACCUAGGCAAUGAUAGGUAGGCGGCCUUAACGGGUGGUCGCCCACACUGGGAUUGAGAUACGGCCCAGACUCCUACGGGAGGCAGCAGUCGAGAAUAGUCUACAAUGGUCGGAAGACUGAUAGUGCGACGCCGCGUGAACGAUGAAUCCCUUCGGGGUUAAAGUUCUUUUAUAUGUGAGCAGUGCUUCUUAUAUUAACAGUAUGGGGGAAGAGAUAUUAGCAUAUGAAUAAGCAACGGCUAAACUCCGCGCCAGCAGCCGCGGU